UGAAAGCAUCUAAGCGGGAAGCCAACUCCAAAACUAGAUAUCCCCUCCUCCUUCGGGAGGACCGUAGACCCCUUGUAGACUACAAGGUUGAUAGGCCAGAUGUGUAAGCACAGCAAUGUGUUCAGCUAACUGGUACUAAUUGGUCGCGAGGCUUGAUCUUU
rnacentral:rRNA from 1 species